GAUGAACGCUAGCUACAGGCUUAACACAUGCAAGUCGAGGGGUAACGAGAGGAAAGCUUGCUUUCCUUGUCGACGACCGGCGCACGGGUGAGUAACGCGUAUCCAACCUGCCCCCAACUAAGGAAUAACCUUGCGAAAGUAAGACUAAUACCUCAUACUUUCCUCAGAUGUCAUCUGACGAGGAAUAAAGAUUUAUCGGUUGUGGAUGGGGAUGCGUCUGAUUAGCUUGUUGGCGGGGUAACGGCCCACCAAGGCAACGAUCAGUAGGGGUUCUGAGAGGAAGGUCCCCCACAUUGGAACUGAGACACGGUCCAAACUCCUACGGGAGGCAGCAGUGAGGAAUAUUGGCCAAUGGGCGAAAGCCUGAACCAGCCAAGUAGCGUGCAGGAUGACGGCCCUAUGGGUUGUAAACUGCUUUUAUACAGGAAUAAAGUUAGCCACGUGAGGUUAUUUGUAGGUACUGUAUGAAUAGGGACCGGCUAAUUCCGUGCCAGCCGCCGCGGUAA
rnacentral:rRNA from 1 species